AUGGAAAUCUCCGUAAUUUUUAAUUUGUUUGGGGGGGAGGUAGCCAAGGGGAAAGGGCAGGGGUUUUGUAAACCCCCCA
rnacentral:tRNA from 1 species